rnacentral:rRNA from 1 species
UACGUAGGGGGCGAGCGUUGUCCGGAAUUACUGGGCGUAAAGGGUGCGUAGGCGGCCCUGCAGGUCAGAUGUGAAAUACCCGUGCUUAACAUGGGGGCUGCAUUUGAAACCGUAGGGCUUGAGUGCGGAAGAGGUAAGUGGAAUUCCCGGUGUAGCGGUGAAAUGCGUAGAGAUCGGGAGGAACACCAGUGGCGAAGGCGACUUACUGGGCCGCAACUGACGCUGAGGCACGAAAGCGUGGGGAGCAAACAGG